CCGGGACCCCCCGGGACCCCCCGGGACCCCGCGGACCCCCCGGACCCCCCGGGACCCCCGGGACCCCGCCCCCAGCGCAGCGCGGCCGCAGCUCCAGGUGAUGGUGACACUUCAGCCCAGGCCCAGAUGACGCCAGUGAGGAGCCACCAGCCCCUGGUGGCCUCGGAGCCGCUCCCUGCCGUCCCCGGGGUGGCACCUCGGCACCAGCCCUGGAGCUGCCCCGGGGAUCCUGGUGUGCCACCAACGGGGGGUCCCCACAAAGGCCCCUGGGGACACCCAUGCCACCGGGACCCCGAGCUGGGGACAUUGCCAUGGACUGGCCACAGAGCCACUGACUGACCACGGGGACAGUGACCAUGCACAGAGCCACGGAGCAGCCACGGGGCCACUGCCCGGCCACAGAGCUUCAGAGCCACGGGCUUGUCCUGUCCCCAGCCCCGGACACGGCUCGGACACCCCGGACAUUCGGGCACUGCCACUCGCCAAUGCCACCGAGGAUGGGAUCGGUCACAGGCCACGUCCCUGCAGGGCAGGGGGACAGACAGACCUGGCAGCCGCGGUGACACCGAGCGAUGGGUCCUGAGGUGACACCGAGCAAUGGCUCCUGUGGUGACAAUGGGCAAGCGAUGGCUCCUGAGGUGACACCGGGCAAUGGUUCCUACAGUGACACUGAGCAAGCGACGGCUCCUGCAGUGACACCGAGCAAUGGCUCCUGAGGUGACACUGGGCACUGGGCCCACCAUUGACACUGAGCACUGGCUCCUGCAGUGACACCGAGCACCGUCCCCACCGGUGACGCCAAGCACCAGCUCCUCUGGUGACCUCCUGCCAUCCCUGGGUGCUCUGGUGGCUGAGGGACAGGAGCCCGGGGACACCCAGGACGUGCUGGCAGGAGCUGGGGGCACUGCUCUGUCCCAUGCCAUGGUGGCUCUGUGCCAUGUCCCCUCAUCCUGUGCCAUGUUCCUGUCACCCUGUGCCAUGUCCUCAGUGGUCUGUGCCGUGUCCCCAUCACUCUGUGUCACAUCAGCA